AGCAACUUAAAAAGAAACGAAGAUGAACGAAGAACAAAAUAAGAACAAGCCACAGAAAAUAAGAACGCAAGAGAGAGAAAUUUGAGUGAAUGCUCUUAAAAAUUAUUAUUGCUCCAAACUCAAGUGUUUUACAAUGAAAGGAGAGGCCCCUAUUUAUAGUUGAGCCUCCCAAAAUCCAACGGUACAGAUUAAUUACAUGAACAGCUAAGAUUAAGGGAUUUCUACAAAUUAAAUCUCUAAGAUUACACAAUUAUAUCAUAUCUAAGAUUGCAUAUCCUUGAAGAUUAUGUUUUCAUAUGCGUCAAGUUUGUAGAUGGACCUUCAACCUUUUCAAGUAAUGGGUCAUUCCAAUCGGGCCAAAUGAUAUAAUUUUGGACUGGACUUAGACUUUAUUUUAUUAUUUUGGGUAUAUUUUUUUUUGUGAGCCCAG
rnacentral:lncRNA from 1 species